AUGGAAGCAGGCUGCAUCCAAGCUUAGGGGUGUACAAGUUUUUACUUACACAGAGCUUGAGAUUGCAACAAACAAAUUUAGUGCAGCAAAUGUGAUAGGAAAUGGAGGGUAUGGGGUAGUGUAUAGAGGGAUUUUGAGUGAUGGCACCGUGGCUGCAAUUAAGAUGUUGCACAGAGAAGGGAAACAAUGAGGAACGUGCCUUUCGGUUAGAGGUUGUGAUUGGGAUGGAUGUGGCUGCUUCUGAGUUUUAUGGUAAAGACAAGACUUAUGAUCUAAACUUCAAAGAAGAGAAUAAUGAUGGCUCACAAAAGAUAUCAGGUUAUGACUGAAGGCUCUCAUUUCAUUGGAAAGUUUGGAAGCUACUGCAAGUUCUUUCUACUUGCUAGGGAUGAGAAUAUUUUAGUUUGUGCACAAGAGAAUCUUUUAAGUUAGUGCACAUGAGAAUCUU